ensembl:lncRNA
GGGUCUGAGACCAGCCACCCUAAAGACCGUACCCCCCCGAGGCUCACUGGGCUUAGUCACCUGAAAAGGGGAAUUCUAUUAUCACAGGACAGCAGAGGAAGGGAGCAUCCAGCCAAGAGUGGGGAGAGAGGAACAUGAGACUCAGAAGUCUGCAGUUUGCCUGGGUAACCCAACUGAUUUAUGGCUAGCCAGACUGACUUUCAUUGCCUCGAUUUGUCUGAAUCCCCAAGGGAUGUUGAAAUAUCCCUGGGGGUGUGCUUCAGGAAUGGUUAGAGGCACUGUGGUUGCCUUCAGACUUUUGCUCUGUGGCAGUGUUUUUGCACAUUCCUUGACUAUCAACUGGUCGUUGUCUAAACUCAAAGUACAUAAUG